UUUAUGCAACACCUUAUAAAUAACAUAAAUGAAUGGCGCAGGCGCCCUCUUGUGGUGACUUGCGUGUUGCGCCACUGUGUUCGGCUAACGAAAAUAAUCCAAUAGUGCCAUCUAGUGGCCAUUUAUGUCAAUUACACUACAUAGUACAAAAUUACAGGUAGAAUCACAAAACGUAAACGUUGGCAGAGGUUAGAGGUAUGGACGCUUUAGUCAGGUACAAUAUUAAUAAUUUGCUUUUCACAAUAUAUCAGUACUGUAUUUAGUUAUAACGUUGUUAUUUGCUACGUUUCACUUAUGGGUGUUUAUUGGACAAAUACAUCCAAUGAGACAAAGUAAAGACAAAAAUGCGCUUGGAAUGAAAAUUCGACUCAGUUACAAACUACAAAACUGAGUAAAGAAGUAUAAACUUCCCCCAACAAAAGAAAUUCAGUAACGCUUACCACCUCAUAGAGUAAUUUCACUAAACAUUGUUGAUUUUGUGGAUUACAGUUGCGGCAUUGUAGUUUGCACAGUUCACCACAGGAGGGCGCCAGAAUGACAUUUACAAAGACUAUAGAUAUUAUCAAGACGCCGCAGACGUAUUUCAAUAAAUUGGGAAAAGUGCAACGCUCAAUACGGCCGCUCAGCGAAGUCCCGCCUAUCACUAAAAAGGAGCCAUUCUUUAAUCGCUAAAGACAGACUUAAUCCGAAAUGGCGUACUCAAUGAGUAGGUACUCAAUUCCACUAGGUACUUACUUAACGGCUGUGUUCCAAUUCGGGGGCUGCGUUCUUUGAAGGCUGCAUUUUAAGACCGAUUGCGUCACAGCAGCGCGACUGAAGGCUGGUAAGGCUGUCCCGAUUCAAAGGUUGCUUCAAAUGCAGCGCCAAAAUGCGACCUUAUUUCCGAGGGUUUUUAAGGAUGGAACGAAUGUAUCCUUCAGGCAUUCACUAAAUUCCAGGGGUUUCAGUUCCGUGACGUACAAUGGGCGUGUCUAAAUAUGUGUCGAAGUCUCCCCCUCACAAAAAGUCACCGAACAUGCGCAAAAAUGCUUUCUUAAAUUCAAAGCAAGGACUGCAGCGAUGGAUAACCAACAAAACAAUCGUAUUGUAGUGUGAGUAUGCUGACCUGAUCGUGAUUUAUUAAGGAAAGCAACUCACCUUCAGACAGUGUGACAUUCCACUCUUUAGAAAACUGAUGGUCUGGGAAAUAGUACAUGAGACUGCCCUGUAAGGCCUGAAUCAACUGGGUCUUCAAACUGUCAUCUUUGUUCUUUCUGUGUAAAUAAAGUGGAGUAUAGAAGCAUGGAUAAUUAAUUAGU